rnacentral:rRNA from 1 species
AUACGGAGGGUCCAAGCGUUAUCCGGAAUCAUUGGGUUUAAAGGGUCCGCAGGCGGUCAAUUAAGUCAGAGGUGAAAGCCCAUCGCUCAACGAUGGAACUGCCUUUGAUACUGGUUGACUUGAGUUAUACGGAAGUAGAUAGAAUAAGUAGUGUAGCGGUGAAAUGCAUAGAUAUUACUUAGAAUACCGAUUGCGAAGGCAGUCUACUACGUAUAUACUGACGCUGAGGGUCGAAAGCGUGGGGAGCGAACAGGAUUAGAUACCCCAGUAGUCC